rnacentral:rRNA from 1 species
AUGGAUAUUAUGUGCAUGCAAUACGGUGGAUAUGAUGAGGUUGGAUGCAUUAUGAGGGACAUUUACAAUUUCUGCCAUGCUAACAAGCAGGAAACAAUUUCUUCCGGGGAUGCUCAAACGGUGAUCAAUCACAUGGUGGCGAGGCAAGAGCAAGAUUCAGAUUUUUUCUUAAGGUACUUGGUUGAUGAAGCUGACCAUCUGAAGGGACUGUUCUGGUGUGAUAGUCAAUCCCGACUUGACUACGAGGCUUUCGGAGACGUUAUUGUUUUUGAUAGCACAUACAGAACCAAUAAGUACAAUCUGCCAUUUGUGCCGUUUGUCGGGUUGAAUCACCACCGCAGCACCGUUAUUUUUGCAUGUGGUAUCAUUUCACAUGAAACAAGCCAGGCAUACGAGUGGAUGUUACGGACCUUUUCUGAUGCUAUGGGACAGAAACAUCCUAUAUCUGUGAUCACGGAUGGGGACCUUGCAAUGCAGAGAGCAAUCAGAGUGGUGUGGCCUGACUCAAACCAUAGGCUCUGUAUAUGGCACAUUCAGUAG